rnacentral:rRNA from 1 species
UACGGGGGGGGCAAGCGUUGUUCGGAGUUACUGGGCGUAAAGGGCGCGUAGGCGGUCAGAUAAGUCAGCUGUGAAAACCUCGGGCUUAACCCGAGGCCUGCAGUUGAAACUGUUUGGCUGGAGUGUGGGAGAGGAGAGUGGAAUUCCCGGUGUAGCGGUGAAAUGCGUAGAUAUCAGGAAGAACACCCGUGGCUAAGGCGGCUCUCUAGUACGGUACUGACGCUGAGACGCGAAAGCGUGGGGAGCGAACAGG